GCCGGUUACCACUAUGAAUAAGCAUCGGCUAACUCCGUGCCAGCAGCCGCGGUAAUACGGAGGAUGCGAGCGUUAUCCGGAUUCAUGGUUAAAGGUGCGUAGGCGGAAGUGUAAGUCAGGGGUGAAAGUUUGCAGCUCAACUGUAAAAUUGCCUUUGAUACUGCAUUCUUGUAGUACAUUUGAGGUAGGCGGAAAGUGUUGUGUAGCGGUGAAAUGCUUAGAUAUAACACAGAACACCGAUUGCGAAGGCAGCUACUAAACUGUAACUGACGCUGAUGCACGAAAGCGUGGGGAUCGAACAGGAUUAGAUACCCCUGGUAG
rnacentral:rRNA from 1 species